UAUAUUUAUGUGUAUGAUUUAUAUGCUGAUUCCUUUUUUUUCUUUUUCUUCUUCUUUUUCUUCUUUUUUUUUGUGAUACAUUUUUGUUUUGUUGUUGAUCCUAUAUCUCAUUAUCUUGUUCAUUUAAAAAAAAAAAACGUUAAUACUGUAAAUAUAUUAUAAAGUUAAAAAAUUCCAAAAGUAUACAUUCCCAUAUAAAACAUAUCCCAUAAAAAAAAAUAUAUAUAUGUAAUAUAUAUAUAUAUA